rnacentral:rRNA from 1 species
UACGGACGGGGCAAGCGUUGUUCGGAAUCAUUGGGCGUAAAGGGCGCGUAGGUGGUUCUGUAUGUCUACCGUGAAAGCGUACGGCUCAACCGUAUUUUGUCGGUAGAAACUGCAGGACUUGAGGCUGGGAGGGGCUGGUGGACUUCCCUGUGUAGCGGUGAAAUGCGUAGAGAUGGGGGAGAACACUCGUGGCGAAGGCGGCCAGCUAGACCAGUUCUGACACUGAGGCGCGACAGCGUGGGGAGCAAACAGG